UACGAAGGGGGCUAGCGUUGCUCGGAAUUACUGGGCGUAAAGGGUGCGUAGGCGGCGCGGUAAGUCGGGUGUGGAAUCUCGGAGCUUAACUCCGAAACUGCAUUCGAUACUGCCGUGCUUGAGGACUGGAGAGGAGACUGGAAUUUACGGUGUAGCGGUGAAAUGCGUAGAUAUCGUAAGGAAGACCAGUGGCGAAGGCGGGUCUCUGGACAGUUCCUGACGCUGAGGCACGAAGGUCAGGGGAGCAAACGGG
rnacentral:rRNA from 1 species